rnacentral:rRNA from 1 species
GGCCUAUUGAGUAUAAUUUUAGGUCUAUCUGCCCAAUGAUGUAGGAUUUAAUGGCUGCAGUAUAACUAACUGUACAAAGGUAGCAUAAUCAAUUGUUUUUUAAAUGAAAACUGGGAUGAAAGAAUUAAUGAGAUAUAUACUGUCUCAUAUAUAUGAUAUGAAAUUGAAUUUUUAGUAAAAAUGCUAAAAUAAAUUUAUGGGACGAUAAGACCCUAUAGAAUUUUAUAUUAAAAUUUAAAUUAAAAUAUAAUUUUGAGUUUUAAUAUUUAGUUGGGAGGAUUAAUAAAUUUAAUAAACUUUAAUUUAAAUGAAAACUUUGAUUAAAGAAUAUUUUAAAGAUCUUGUAUUAUAGAUCAUAAGAAAAAAUUACCUUAGGGAUAACAGAGUAAUAUCUUUUUUAAGAUCAUAUUAAUAAAGGUGAUUGCGACCUCGAUGUUGAAUUAAGAUAAAUUUUAAAUGAAGAAGUUUAAUAAUUAAGUCUGUUCGACUUUUAAAAUCUUACAUGAUUUGAGUUCAAAUCGACGUAAGU